CCGGGUGAUCUUAUGGUUUUUCCACAAGGGAUGUUGCAUUUUCAAAUUAACACUGGUAAGGGAAAAGCAACUGCUUUUCUUACUUUUAGUAGUGCUAACCCUGGUGCUCAAUUACUUGAUCUUCUUUUGUUUUCGAAUAAUUUACCUUCUCAAUUGGUGGCACAAACUACUUUCCUUGAUCUUGCACAAGUGCAGAAGCUAAAGGCACGUUUUGGUGGAAGAGGGUAGGGAUAUGAUAUUGUUUGGUCAUGAUCAUAACCCACUCUCCUUGUGUAAAUGUUUAUUCCAAUAAUCACCUAGUGGUGGAUUUGAUUGUGUGUCUGUGUUAUUUUAUUUUAUUCUAUGUUUUAGCUAUUCCAAAUGUUAUGAUAUAUGGUUACUUGUGAUAAUGAAGUAAUAAAUUGUGUGUGAUACAUUUCUUGGUUCCUCUUUCUAUCUCUCAACCUGUCUCCUAAUUUUUUUGUUGAAUUAUGGCAACAUUUAAAAUUGAAUUGAAGAUUGAAUGAGCACGACCUGGAGAUUAUGAUUUAAUUAGCUCAAUCACUUGAAUCACAAUUGAACUAAAUGAUUAAUCUAUAAAUAAAAAAAGUAAUUGCAAAAACAAAUCUUAUUAAAUUAUUACGAUUCAAUCGGUUCAACCUUAUUCAAAAUGACUUCGAUGCGACUAUGAUUUCUAACCCAUUUUAUUUUAGAUUUAACUAGUUGAACUAAUAAUUUAAUAGAAUAUGCAACUUAGACUUAUUUACCAUUUUUGGGUGUUAGAAGUUAGAAAAUUUUACAUGAUGUGGAUAACAUCACAAUACAAUUCAAAGUAGUGGGCUAUAAUUUAUGAGAAAUGAUAUUUGAACAAUAAUUUUUAACAACUUUUGUGACAACUUUAUCUCUCAUACUCACAUUAAUUUUUUACUCUCUCUCUAUUGCUUUGGUUUUUGUGUCACUAUCUCAUUUCUUUUGCAAAAUUUUGAUUGUCACAAAAGUUGUCACAUGUAUGGAUGUUCAUAUAACACAACUCAUAAUUUAUUCAUUAAAACCUUACUUAUAUAUCAACAAGCAAAACUAGGCGUAAGACGAUUGAGUCAGCCUCUACUUGGUAGUUGGUUCUAAUCUCAUUGCCAUUGCUUCGGUGCAUCAACCUCGAGAGUGUGGAAACGGUAAAUUGGUUUGCGAGUACUGAUUCGCGGUAUUUUAAUGAAUUUGUUUGCGCAAAAUCGUGAGCAAUUCAUAGCAAAGUGCGUACGUGACAGAAGUAUAAAACAAAUCAAACAAGUUUAAUUCAAAUUUCACAUAUUGUAUGUCAAACACAAUAAAUAUCUGACCAACUUGAUAGAAGAGCUCAUCUGCCAUGAACAUGCAGCAACCAUUAGUGCAAACUGUAAAAUUAGGUCAUAGAAAAUUCAAGGCUAAAAUAUGGUUUUAGUCCCUGCAAAUAUGUCUCGUUUUGGUUUUAGUCUCUGUAAAAAGAAAAUUUUGUUUUUGGUCCCUGCUAAAUAAUUUGUUUUUGAAAAUAGUCCCUAGCCCCACUUUUGUGAUGAUUUGCAUACGUGUUACAUUAUAACUGAACCAAUUUUGUAGUUUUUGGUCCCUGCAAAAUAUUUUGUUUUUAAAAAAGGUCCUUGAAUUUUUUUUUUGUUUUUGAAAUUUUUUGCAGGGACCAAAAACAAAAAAUUUUGUUUACAGGGACUAAAACCAAAACGAGGCAUAUUUGCAGGGGCUAAAACCAUAUUUUAGCCAAAAUUCAAAUGCAUAGUAGUGUGUACCACUACCAACCUGGAUGUUGUGCAGGGGCAGCUAAGAAGCUUAUAGUAAAAUGGUCAUAUAGAGAUUAAGGUUCUUGUAUAUGCAAAAACAAUGAUUAUAAAGAGUCAUAUAUUAUAUAUAGGCUUAAAUAAGUAAAAGGUCUCUGUAAGUUGGCGCAUUUUUGGUUUUAGUCCCUGUAAGUUUUUUUGUUGCGAGACAAACCCUGUAUUUACCAAACGUUUUGGAUCUAGUCCCUGCCGUCCAAUUCCGUGAAAAAAUGAUGACCUUGCUAACGGAGCAAUACGUGGCACUUCGUGAGUUGGCACUAGUUGAUGACUGGGGUUAAUAUAGGGACUAAAACCAAAAAUGCAAUUUAACAUAGGGACUAAUUUAAAAAAACGUAAUCAUCAAUUUUUAAAUUUUAAAAACCAGUCUUUCCUUCUUCUUCCUCUCUCUGUUCUUUCCUUCUUCUUCCUCUAUUUGUUAGUUCUUUAAUUGCUUGUGCCCAAAAACUCAAACCUCAUUUCCUUCAACGAUGUCUUCUCAUUCCAUUUCUCAUUCAUCAUCAAAUGAGUUGCCUAUAAGUGCCAAUUACUUCUUUAAGUUCUGCUUCAUUUGUUCCUCCUUGAGUCUCCAAAAGCAAAUCAGUGAUAAUUACUUCCAUUUGUUUCCCCUCGCGCACCUUAAUCUUAGCCCAUCCAACCAAGUUUGUGUCACCAAAAUCCUCCUUAUCACCAGGCCUUUUCCCAUUAAGAAGUUCCAUCAUUACAACACCAAAUGAAUAAACAUCACCCUUUGCAGUGCACCUGAAACUUUGGUAAUACUUUGGUGGAACAUAUCCAGGUGUUCCUGCUAGUGUGCUUACACUGAGAUGUGUAUCAAGUGCACUUAUUAGUCUUGCCAUUCCGAAAUCCAAGACUCUUGACUCCAUUUCAUUGUCAAGUAAUACAUUGCUUGACUUCAUGUCUUUGUGUAUGAUGUGAGGGAUGCAAUUAUGAUGCAGAAAACAAAGUCCUUUAGCAGCACCUCUUGCAAUCUUCUUCCUUUCUUCCCAUGUUAAAAUUCGUCGAUCACAUGUCUUUAUUCUUCUGUGGAGCAUCUCUUCUAGGCUUCCAUAUUCCAUGUAUUCAUAAACAAGUAGCCUCUCUUCUCCUACUUUGCAGUAUCCCAAUAAAGGGACAAGGUUUUUAUACUUGAUUUUUUCUAAGGUUUCCAUCUUAGCCAUGAAUUCUCUAUCACCUUGGCAACUCAGUCGAAUGAGCUUCUUUAUCGCGACACAUGUUCCGUCUUUGAGUGUGGCCUUAAACACUUCACCAAAACCACCACAACCAAUGAGGCUUGCUGCUGAGAAGCCAUUGGUUGCUUCAAUCAACUGUGAGAAUUUAAGCUUUCUCAAUUACCUCUGAAAUGUUGCAAUAUUAAUGCAUAAUGGCUCUUUCUCUUUAUCAAUUUUCCAUGUUGUAGCAGCAUGACAUGCGAAUUGGAGAUGAACAUCCUCAUAAUUUUUCUACAACCACAUAUUGACAACUCAUUUGAUGAUGAUUGACAAAUGGAAUGAGAAUACAUUGUUCCAUGAAAUGAGUUUUUGGUGUUAGGGCGCAAAGCUAUCGAAGGGUGGGAAUGGCAGAAAUGAAGAAGAGAGAAAUAACAUAGUGAGGAAGAAGGUGGAAAUAAUAAGUUUUAAAAUUCAAAUUUUGAUGAUUAUGUUUUUUAUUUUCAUCCCUAUGUAAAUUUGCAUUUUUGGUUUUAGUCUCUCUAAUAACCAAUUGCCAACUCAUCAUAUGCCACAUAUUAGUCCGUUAGCCAGCGAAGCGUUUUUUUGACGGAAACGGACGGCGGGGACGAAUGUCAAAAUGUUAAGUAAAUACAGGGGUUGUUUCGCAACAAAAAAAGAUACAGGAACUAAAACAAAAAAUGCGCGAACUUACAGGGACCUUUUUCUUAUUUAAGCCUUAUAUAUAUAUUGUUCAUCUUCAAAAUGUCACGACGACAACGUAAAUUAAUGCGGCACUGCAAAAAUAAUAUCACUAAACACAAACUGAAACAAAUUUCUAGGGAGAUAUUCCUGAUGGCAGUUGCAUCGUUCAAGACAGAAGUAAUUGUUCUUUAACUUAUUUUCUAAAUACGCAUACAAUUGUAAAACACAGUCAAAUUUUAUUGAGUGAAAUUAUGGUUGGAACGUGAUGGAGAUUUCCAUUCCUCCAAUUCUCUUCGUACACCUCUCUUGUUGUACCCAAUUUCUUCGAAGGCCUUUAGGGAUGGUGCUGUUCGUUCAACGGUGUUACUGCCAAUACAAAAGAUUAACAGUGUUCAAUAAAAUCCUAUAUGUUAGGAAACAAAGUGCUGAAGAAGAAAAAUAAGCACAAUCACAAUAUAAGAAUAUAAUGUUAGGAAACAUGGUAUCCAUGAAAAGAAGGAGAGAAAACUAAGAAACUCUUUCUAUUGAUGAAAAUGGAAUAUUACAAAAUGAGAAAAGUACCCUCUAAUGGGGUGGUUACAAGUUAUUUAUACUACUCUCUACUAGGACUAAUAUGCUACUAAUCUAUAUCUCUAAUAGUCCCCCUCAAGUUGGAAGGUGUUCAAAACACUUCCAACUUGAAAUGAGAAAAUACAAGGAAAGAUGCCAGAAAUACAUUGGCCAAGAACAUAGCAACAAUCAAAGGCUUAUCCAACAAGAGGAAACCACAACUCAAGGUGUAAUCACCUUGGAGGAAGAAGCAGCAAACCAACGCUUAACCACCAUCCGGUAGAAGCCAAUCAUCAACAAAGCCUUAAAAGGCACAAUGCUUAACCAUCAAGAGUUCUCAAUAACUCAAGACAGAAGCACAAGAAGAAGAAGAAAAUGACGCUUAACCAUCCUUGGACAGAAGCACAACGACGCUUAACCAUUCAUGACAGAAGCUUAUCAACAUAGCUUAACCAUCAUGAACAGAAGCACAAGACAAGAAGAGUAAGGAUAUCUAAAAUCAAUGAUGAUCUCCAAAAGAAAAAGUGCAAGGAAGGGCCAAAGUUUACAAUGGAAGGAGGUCAUAUGUUGAACAAACUGCACAUCAAAGGUACCAUGAAGCAACAAGACCAAGGUUCCAAAGUUAAAAAAGAGAUGCGCUCCAAUGCCGAGCCGAGACAAGAAAAACCAAAUGCAAGCCAAUAGAGAUGCAUAGCCAUGUGAGGUGUCUUCAAACCAUAGAAAACAAAUCCAUGUUGAUGCAUUCAAACCAUAGGCCAACAAAUCAAUACUUCCAACAAUGAAGCUUAAGAAAAUACCAACAUAGCCAAAACCAGAAAAAAAAAAAUGCAGCAGUAAUGCUGCACAAAAUAAAACCAAAAUGCAGCUAAGAGACAUCAAAAUGAACUCAAGAAGAUGCUUUAACGGUCUGCCCAAAAAUUCAUCAACGAUCCAGGAACAAUCCCAUGCUUCAGAUAUCAAACCAAGGCUUCCAAAAACGAUCCUAAGCCAUCAAGAAAUAAAUCCAUAGCCAAUGAACAAAAUGCAGUAGCAAUAUGAAGCACUGUACUGUGUUGGAAUAGCAUGCAACACUAACAAAAUGCCUAAUCAGCCUCACAAUUUCAUUUGUUCCUUUCACACACAAGAAUAUAGAGAAACCAUCUGAACAGCUUGGAGUGUACUAAAGGCUUCUUCAAUUACUAUUCAAAAAAUGCUUGACCAUAUCAGAUCCAACACCAUGAUAAGCAAUCAAAUGCCAAACAAAACUUAGCCCACCAGUAUGCAAUAUCUAUAAGACUACCAAGUGUGAUAGCAACACCAUAAAAGAAACAAAGAAGUAUGCCAAAACCAAUGAUAUCCAAAGAGAAUGUAGAACAAACAACCAAGCUGUAAUUGGAUCCCAAAGAAUGCAUCAAAAAAACUAUACGUGAAAGGAAGAUCCUUACAUAACACUGCAACAACAUAGCCAUACACAUAAGUCUGGGUCCGCCAAUCUUCAAUCAUAAUAUAAGAGUACCUUAACAUGAACUGCUCCAAAAAUGUAGUAGUGAUGAAGAGGUUCACAAGAAAAUGCACGCAUAGACCAAUAACGUCAUGCAGCAGUCAACAACAGCACCUCAAAGCAAGUCCAAUGCAAUGUUGGAUCAGAACAAAUUGCAGUGUUACCAACAACCAUCACCAUCAAACUGAACGUAAUAUGCAAUAAGGACCAAAAAACACCAAAAUAUCAAGGUAAUAGAAUCCAACUCUAUCUGCACCACAUGCACAAUUGUAUACAACCAGAGAAAAUGAACUAAUUGCAGCCUUGUCUAAAUAGCAGAACAUAGAACUUCAUCAAAAGAAUCAUGAACCAAGAAUCAAUAUGUUUGCAGUGAGGACUUGCUACAAACAUCUUGUGAGCACAAUAGUCAUAAACUGCAGUUACAAUAAAACUCGCUUAUGAGAAACCGAAUUCUCAAUACAAUACAAUAAUGAAACAGGGAAGAAGAUGAAAUAUCAACGACACAUAGAAUCAAUGCGAAAAAGACGACUCUGAGCCGAAUCGAAAAUUUUAAUGAAGAGGAAUCGCAAAAAAAAAUAAAAUUGAAUCACGGAUUCGAAUCGAAACUGGAAAUUGCGAUCGAGUAAGAAUUCGAUCAAGACUUUUGAAUCACGUGGGAAAUUGAACCAAAACUAACAGAACAAAGAAGAACGAACAAAGAAAAUUGAUCGAGAGAGAAAAGGAAAUCGCCAUUGUAACUGAAUCGCAAACCCUAAGAUUUGGGAAAAAGACACAAACGGAAUCACGAAGCAAUCGAUCGAACAAAAAGAUGUAAAAGAAUCGAAUGAAAUUGAGAUGCAGAUCAAAAGAGAAAUCGAUCGAACAAAUCAAUAACAGAAAAACGAUUCGAGUACAAGACAAAGGAAAAUGAAGAAAAUGAAGUGAUAAAAGAGAAAAAUCAGAACGAAGAAGAAAAGGAAAACAACACGAGAAAAAUGAACUUUUCUCGAGAAAAUGCAGCGGAAAAAUUGUUCAAGGUGGAUACCAAUCAUGCUCUGAUACCAUGUUAGGAAACAUGGUAUCCAUGGAAAGAAGGAGAGAAAACUAAGAAACUCUUUCUAUUGAUGAAAAUGGAAUAUUACAAAAUGAGAAAAGUACCCUCUAAUGGGGUGGUUACAAGUUAUUUAUACUACUCUCUACUAGGACUAAUAUGCUAAUAAUCUAUAUCUCUAAUAUAUAACGUGGAAACUUUAAAACUGGAUAAAAAACCACGACCGUUGUCUAAACCGACAACCAGAAAAUGAUUACUAUGGGAUUUUUUUUACAACACAUAGACUUCUCUCACUCUCACCCCAAUGCUCCAGUACAAUCAUACUCUCACAAAGCAAAUAUUUAAACUAAGUCAGAUAUAAGCUUAAAGUGCUACUGACUGGUGCAUCUACAAACAAAGAACCUAGGUCCAAUAUAUAGUCAUGGUCCUCCCAUUGCUUCACCACACUAAGCGAUGUAGGACUUUUCCAAUAGCAAAUAUUUUUUAACCUCCUUAUUUAUUUAAGAAACUUGACAAUCAAACCCAACAAUCUCCACCUUGAUUGUACGAGUUUCAUCUUUCGCUUCCAUUGUUUAUACUGACAAUCAUACUCCACCAUAAAGAGUAUACUUCACUUGAAACUAGACCUUUCCAAGAAUUUCUCCACGUCAAAACCUUGCUGAAAGAUUACGGUGCAACUCCCAUGUUGGAUUUCAGGAAGUUCUUCAGCCAUCGACACAUCUCACCACACACCUUGCAUUAAUUAAUUUCUUAAACAAUUUAUAAUUAAUUUGUAUCUCGUUUAAAGACUACAAAAUUUCAUUGUGAAGGUUCUUAUCAUGUUCUAGUCAUGCCUACAAAAUUAGGGAACUAAAUUUGACUUGUGAGUAUACGCUUACGCGGAACAAAAUUUCAAUUUUGCAUGUUUUGAUUGAAAAAUCAAAAUAAAUUUAAACGACUUCGAAAUGCAAUGAAACUUUACAGAUCCGUUUUAUGUAUUUUUUUAUAGAUGUCUAUGCAAAUAAUGAGCUCAAAAUUCGAUUUAUAGGUCGAGAUUUCCAUUGUUUUGUUUUUUGAGCUUUUGACACUUUAAAAAUUCAUAAUUAAUUUGUCGUAUGUCGAAAAUUUAUAUAUUUUUAGUGUAAAGCCAUAUUUUAACAUUCUUAACUCGCCUCUAACAAAUCAUGAAAAAAAUUGAAUCUCUCGGUUUCUUUUUUGGACUUCGCAUAUAUUACAGAGUUAUAAAUAAUAAAAAUCUUGAGUUACAUGGUAAGAAUACAUGUUAUUUAAUUACAGGGCCAAUUUUCAGACUUCACGUAUAUUAUAUGAUCAAUUUCAAUUAAUAAUCUUAUUUUAAAUUGUACUUUUGUUGACUAAAUGAUAAAACCUAUUUUAUUUCGAUUUUUUUAAUUAAAAUUAAAAUUAAAAAAAAAGUUUCAAUUUAUGAUUGUUGAUAUAUUAUGUCGCAUGUGAAUUUGCGAUAAAUUUUUUGCCCAAUCUCCAUAAAUUUCCAGACUCCGCCACUGUAUAGUACCUACUCAAAGAAUACUUGUUAUCAUCCCUAAUUGUGCGCUAACACUCCUCAAUUCAAAAUGACAUAAUAGCAUGCUUGUUGAGGAAAAAUUAUUGCCUUUAUUAUAACAAAAUUAGUUAAUUUUUUUUUUGAGGAAAACUGAAUUAGUUAGUGAAAAUUAAGUAAAAGACUAUGAAGAUAAUUUAAAUUUAUACAAAUCGUCACUUGACCAAUCUUAUUGCAAUAAAUUAAUAAAACGUCAUUUCAAAAAGAUUUGUGGCUGAUCCUUAAAAAAUAAAAUCAUUCCGUGACAAUUUUUUUUAUUCUUUUUCAAAUCUUUACUCUAAAUCUUCAUCUGUCACACACAACUAACUCAAACAUCCAUAGACGUGCAAUCAAUCUCAAUGAAAGAUUAGACUACAGGGUCUUUUAUUAAUACUCUUUGUGUACACAAAUUGAAUUCACUUAAAUGUUGUUUAAAAUUCUAAUUUUAGAGUUUACAUGAAAUGAAAGAACAUAUGUUGACUCACUUAUUGUAACCUUACAUGAAAUAAGACAACAUAUAUGUAUGCAUUGUUUUAAAAACAUUGAAGAUAAACUGAAUUUACGUAGGGUAUAUAAACUGAGUUUGCAAAUUAUACAACUCUACGUAAAUUAAGAUAGAGAAUGGAGAGAGAAAAAGGAAGAUAGAGAAUAAGAAGAUAAUGUGAGUAUGAGAGAGAAAGUUGUUAAAAUGUUUUUUUAAAGAAAAAAGUUGUUAAAAUGUUGUCACAAAGUGGAUGUACAAAUAUCAUUUCUCUAUAUAAAAUAUACAAAAUAUAUGGAGGAUUAUUGAUAAAAAAAAACAUGGGGAUUAAUUAUUGCUAAGAAUAAAUUAUUUUGAAAUACUCCCCUAUUUUUUUUUUUAAAUUCUCUUGACCAAAUUUUUCUUUUUUUAAAAUUCAUUGAAAUAAACCAAAAACAAAUACUCCAUUUCUAACAAAAAUAUAGACAUAAAGAGGAUCAAAGCGUCAAAUAGUCUUGCCCUCAAUUUUUUUUACUUUUAGAACAUCUUUUGUUUAUGUUUUCGUUACAAAGAGUAUGCAAAAUUAGACUGACUUAUUUUAAUUCAUUUAUAUAUAAUAUAUGGUAGUAUUUGUGAUAAUGUUUGUUAGAACCUAUGAAAAUAAUUUAUAACAUCUAAGUUUAGUUCCAUAAUUUUACAGAAUAGUUUAUAGAAACAACUUAAAAAUAUAUUAAAUAUAAAUGUUUUUUUUUUGUUUUAAAAAAGUAUAUAGAAAUAUUUAUAUUGAUAAGCUUAUAAUAUAUAUAUAUUAUGAAGUAAAAACAUCCUUUGUAUAUUAUAAACGAUUAAUUAUUUUGUUUAUUCAAAUAUGACCUCCUAUAUUAUUUUUUUUUUUGUUGGAAAGACGUCUAAAAACUAAUCAUUUUUGGUGGUGGUCGGGGUUCAACCCAGUAUAUAUUAUGCAUUGUUCCUACCCACUGAGCUAAGCUCAUGAUGACCCAAAAACCAAUCAUUGAUACACGAUAUAUAUAUAUAUAUAUAUAUAUAUAUAUAUAUAUAUUGACAAAAAUAAAUGAUAUGCAUUCAUUCAAAUUGAUAGAGUUCAUCGAUACAAUACUAAUUCGAUAAAAAGAAAAAGAAUGAAUUUGCGAACAAACUCAUAACAUCCAUGUUAAUAUCAUAAAACAACAAAGUACAAAAACAUACUUAUAUGACUAUAUUCAAGUAUCCGGAAUACCCAUGUCUCUAGAUCUGCAACGUGGACGACGCAAAGUCAUAGAUUGAAUCUGCACUGGUCGAAGCGGAUAUGACAAUCUAAACCGAACAAAUACCUGCAUGAAACAAAUAAGACAAACAAUGUUGCACAAAGACGACGAACAAACCAAUGUCGCACUAUGACGGCGAAAUCACAAAAUAAAAAACAAAAUAGAUGUGAAAAUCACUUAUUUCAAUUAAAAGAAAAUAAAAAAGCGAGUUAGAUGGGUGAUUUAGGGUUAAAAACUGACUCUAAAACACCUCUACUUGAUAGAUGAGGGAGAAGAAACUAGAGUUUUGGUGACGGCUCACAAGAAAGAAAAAGAAAAGAGAAAUUUAUAUAACGAUAUAGGUAUCUCUAAGUAAAUUUGUUAAAAAAAAAAAGUGUCACUAAGUAAAACAUAGAUAAAAUAAAGAGAACCAAUAUGGAAAUAUAUAAAAAAAUGCAAACAAAUAGAAGACUAUAGAUAUGUUAAAUAAAUUUUUAGUUAUAAUUUAUUAAAUAAAAAUUUUAUUAAUUUAAUUUGUCAAAAAUAAAACCUUAUUAAUUUAAAUUGACUAAAAAAUGAGUGAUAAUGUGUCAACAAAAUUCACUAGAAUCCCUAGUCGUCACCCAUUUCUUCUUCUUGUCUAUUGAAGAUGAAUGAUUUAGGGUCAAUUCUAACCUAAAAUCACCCAUCCGAAUUGUUUUUCUUUCUUUUCUAGUUGAAUAAGUGAUUUCCAUAUAUUUUUUUAUUGUUCUUUCGUUUGUUUUUGUGAUUUCAUCGUCUUUGCAUGACUCUGUUUAUUUUGAUUUUCCAUCUUAAUGUCGUGUUUAUUUGAUUGAGGUUGAAAUAUUAGCUUUGAUUAGGUGCAAAUCCGAAGACAUGAGUAUUCCAGAGAUUUGAAUAUAGUCAGGUUUGUAGGCAUAAAUACUUUGCAGUUUUAUGUUAACAUGAAUGUUGUGAUUUAUCCUUUUUGUUUUUAGAGACUUUAAAUUUAUAUUAUAUCGAUAUACUCUAUAAAUUAAAAUGAAUGAAUAUCGUUUAUUUUUUUUAAAAAAAGUCAGCAGAAUUAAAAUACUAUGAUUUGCUAAUUUGCUCAUUCACCUAUAUUGUUUAGUUGGUUUAUAUUAGUAAGUUGGAAUAUAUUAUUAUCCAUGAGAUCAUAUGGUUUACGUACUGAUUUAUCUUAUAUUAUUUUUUUUGAAAUAAUUUACAUUAUAUUACUAAAAAAAUGGAAUCGUAUUGGUGGCAUAUGAACUGGGACCGUCAUUGCUGUAUUAUCAUUGCUAUAUGUAGUUUUUAUUUCAUAUGCUUGGGCCUAUAUUAUAUGGUCAGACUGUAUUAUAUUUGGAUCUUCUUACAGGUAAGCUGACUUUUAUAAAAUUUGAAUCAUUAAGAAGGUAACGUUUUCCAUAGGACAAACAUGAGUUACUAUAAUUAGACAUUAUCAUUCCUUUGUUUUUUUCGGAUAAUUUUUUAUAAAUUCUUCUUAUUUCACAUAUAAUAUUUUUUACAUUUCCCUCCCUCUCUACCUCCCUAUAAAUAGCUUGCCAAUUCCAUCGUUUCCUCAUACCAAGUUCAAUAAUCAAAAAUCAUCAUCCAAUAAUAAGAUGAAGAUUAUUCACAUAGUUUUUCUUUUCUUUUUUCUUUCAUUCACUACUUCCCAAGCUUCUGUCAAUGAUUUUUGUGUAGCAGAUUUAAAGGCUCCAGAUACCCCUUCAGGCUAUCAGUGCAAACCCCUAGCAAAUAUCACAUCAGACGAUUUUGUCUUUCAUGGCUUCGUAGCCGGAAACACCAACAACUCUUUCAACGCUGCACUUACCUCCGCAUUCGUCACUGAAUUUCCAGGCCUUAACGGACUAGGAAUCUCAGCAGCGCGGUUAGACAUAGCCGAAAAUGGUUCAAUUCCAAUGCAUACUCAUCCCGGUGCUACCGAAUUAUUGAUAAUAGUUCAAGGUGAAAUAACCGCUGGAUUUCUGACACCUACCUCAGUUUAUUCUAAGACGUUGAAACCGGGUGAUCUUAUGGUUUUUCCACAGGGGAUGUUGCAUUUUCAAAUUAACACUGGUAAGGGAAAAGCUACUGCUUUUCUUACAUUUAGUAGUGCUAACCCUGGUGCUCAAUUACUUGAUCUUCUUUUGUUUUCGAAUAAUUUACCUUCUGAAUUGGUGGCACAAACUACUUUCCUUGAUCUUGCACAAGUGCAGAAGCUAAAGGCACGUUUUGGUGGAAGAGGGUAGGGAUAU
rnacentral:lncRNA from 1 species